UACAGAGGUCUCAAGCGUUGUUCGGAUUCAUUGGGCGUAAAGGGUGCGUAGGUGGUGAUGCAAGUCUGGUGUGAAAUUUCGGAGCUUAACUCCGAAACUGCAUUCGAUACUGCGGUGCUUGAGGACUGGAGAGGAGACUGGAAUUCAUGGUGUAGCAGUGAAAUGCGUAGAGAUCAUGAGGAAGACCAGUGGCGAAGGCGGGUCUCUGGACAGUUCCUGACACUGAGACACGAAGGCCAGGGGAGCAAACGGG
rnacentral:rRNA from 1 species